AUUGAACGCUGGCGGCAUGCUUUACACAUGCAAGUCGAACGGCAGCGCGGGCUUCGGCCUGGCGGCGAGUGGCGAACCGGUGAGUAAUGCAUCGGAACGUGCCCAGUAGUGGGGGAUAGCCCGGCGAAAGCCGGAUUAAUACCGCAUACGACCUGAGGGUGAAAGCGGGGGACCGAAAGGCCUCGCGCUAUUGGAGCGGCCGAUGUCGGAUUAGCUAGUUGGUGGGGUAAAGGCUUACCAAGGCGACGAUCCGUAGCUGGUCUGAAAGGACGACCAGCCACACUGGGACUGAGACACGGCCCAGACUCCUACGGGAGGCAGCAGUGGGGAAUUUUGGACAAUGGGGGCAACCCUGAUCCAGCCAUGCCGCGUGCGGGAAGAAGGCCUUCGGGUUGUAAACCGCUUUUGUUCGGGAAGAAAUCCUCUGGGCUAAUACCCCGGGGGGAUGACGGUACCGGAAGAAUAAGCACCGGCUAACUACGUG
rnacentral:rRNA from 1 species